rnacentral:tRNA from 1 species
ACUUAAAUAGUUUAAAAAAAACAUUGAAUUGUGAUAUCAAAAAUAUAUUUAAUAUUUUAAGUC